rnacentral:tRNA from 1 species
GGAGGGAUGCCCGAGUGGUUAAAGGGGACGGACUGUAAAUCCGUUGGCUCAGCCUACGUUGGUUCAAAUCCAACUCUCUCCACCA